UAUCCCUCGGGAGAGAGAGGGCAGAAGGGCUUGCUCACUCUCUGGAACUCUCCCAGUCUGAUGUGGGAGGAGCAGAGCCACCAGUCUGACCAGGCAGCACCUCAGAAAGUAACCCACAAAGCAAGACUUGGCUCUGCCACUGACUUCUGUGACCUUGACCAAGCCAUUCCUUGUCCCCUGGCCUCAGUUUACCCAUCUGUAAAGUGAGGAGGACGAGUAAACGGUGGUCCAGGACAGCCCUCAUCCAUUUGCAUACUACUGAAUCCCCAGGACAGUGGGGGGCACACAGUAUCUCCUAUCUGUGGAAUGUGGGAUGUCUACUCAACAGUUGCAGGAUUGGGGUAUCACCUCAGUAAAGAAGUGGUUUUAGCCUUUAAAUGCUGACAGCACUCAGGAAAGAAGCUAUCAAGUCCAGAUAUUUGGGGAAAAAGGCAUUACGAGUCAAAGAAUGGGAGCUCCACUGUUCUUCCUUUCUGCUGAAAUCAGAAGAGAAACAGACCAAACUGCAGAAGGUGGGUAGAUCACAGGAAGGCCUUCUGGACAGUGAGGACUGAACAGUCCAAAAGGUCUGCACAUCUCCUUCCUGGAAAGCAUUCAGGGUGACAGGAAGCCACUGCUGGCCCUCGGCAGGCUCUGCUCACUGCAGCUGCAACCAUGGUGAAUCGGGACGUAGCUGGGAAGGGGACUUUGCGGAAACCGUGGCAGGGCUGCUGCCUAGAGGCUGAGGAUGUAGAUUAAGGUACCAGCAGGACCUGGGCUUGGAUUCUGACUUCACCAUCUACCUUUGCUGGGGAACUUGGACUAAUUGCUGUGUUAUGGUUACCUCACUUAUAAAUUGGGAGUAAGAACACUUACCUCAGGUAGAAGGUAUAGCUCAGUGGUAGAGUGCAUGCUUAGUAUACAUGUGGUCCUGGGU